AUACGGUAAGCAUCGUUUCAUUUUCAGCUGUAAAAUAUGAAUAUUCCAUUGAGAUAGUGAUCGCUUGUUUUAUUAAGUUAUUGAAUUUUCUCUUAUUAAAGUUGCUUGAUAUUGAUUUUGACAAUGGGUUUUUUUGUGAAUUAUGUGGAAGAAUUCCCCAAAAGGUGGUGAUGGAUGGAACAACUCUUGGAAUACAGAAAAAUUUCUUACCAAAUAAUUUAAGAGAGUCUGAUAAUGGAUUGCUAGAUGGAAGAUAAGUAUUUUUGAAGUUUAUCUGUAAUAUAUAGUAUAUACAGGUCUGCUAAUUAGUAAAUACGAGUGUUCAUCUACGUAUCAGAAAGCAUUUUAUGCAUGAUAGUGACUUCUCUCA